rnacentral:rRNA from 1 species
UGAGCAAUCUGCCCUUCUCAUCGGAAUAAGCGUUGGAAACGACGUCUAAUGCCGAAUACGACCUCCUUUCGCAUGAUCGGAGGUGGAAAGCUCCGGCGGAGAAGGAUGAGCUCGCGGCCUAUCAGCUAGUUGGUGUGGGUAGUGGCCCACCAAGGCGACGACGGGUAGCCGGCCUGAGAGGGCGACCGGCCACACUGGGACUGAGACACGGCCCAGACUCCGUACGGGAGCAG